CUGCGGAGGGAGACAAGGCCUCGGGCCUGCUGGGGAACUGGUGGGAAGACUGUGGCAGACUGGAAUUGGUCGUAGCGGCUCCACCAUGCCUGAGCCACUGGCAGGGCGGAUCGGUGCCACGUGUCCGGAGGGCUCAGGAGAAGGCUAUGCAGCAUGGAGGCAAGUAGACAGUCUGCUGUUUAGGGCAGCUGCCCCAACAUGGGACGGGAGCCAGCCUGGCUGAUGCAGAUCCAUUUGGAAGAGGCACUGGCUUCUGCAGAGGGAGACAAGGCCUCAGGCCUGCUCGGGAGCUGAUGGGAAGGCUGUAACAGACUGGAAUUGGUCGUAGCGGCUCCACCAUGCCUGAACUGCUGGCAGGGUGGAUUGGUUGGAAUUUGUCAGAAGUUGUCCGAGGAUCUGCUGUGGUAGCAGUGUACUAGUGAGAAGCUGUCUCCUGCUAAUGAUGCCCCUGUCUGUUACUGCUGUCUGUGAUCCCUUGUCUGAUCUCUUUGGUCUUUUCUCAGAGUUAGCAGGGAGUGAUAAAUUGGUGUUCUGCCAACUCACAGAUGAAGGGUGGUGAUUUAUUUUUCUUUUCCUUCCUCAGUUUCAGGCAUUUAAUUAUAAUGGAUUCUGGAACUUGCUAUAAGUUUAAUAUAAUCUCAUACUUUUGCCUGCAAGGGCUGCAUUCACCACCUGAUAAUGUUACCUUGCUGCUAUCAUUGAAAGUACGGUAGUAUCACCUUAAAAAGGAGUUUUUAUGUAUGGCCUUGUGGUUAAGGCUAGUCCUUUUCCAAGAGUGAGGGUUCAGAUCUUGGCUAUACCCUGUUACUCAGUAAGCUUCAGCUUGUCACUAUCUUCCUAUAGUAUGGGCAAGGGACCUCAUGGAUGCUGCAGUGCAGUCUGGGUUUCUGUAUUGCUUAGAGCUUACUAUUUAAUAAAAUCUGAGUAUUGUGUGAA